ensembl:lncRNA
GACUCAGUGCCCACCUCAGGUGAUCAAUCAGAGCUCCAGGCUGUGAUUCAGCAGUUCCCAUACAGUAAGAUAAAACUUCACAGGCCAAGAUGGGGUGCUAUCCCAGGGGAUUUGCAUCUGUGUCUCCAUUUCACACUCUGUGGUGACAUCCUUUUUUGGAUAGGGUCAUAUGAUUGUUUCAAAACUGUGCAAUGGGUUGAGAACAUAAGGCUGCAUGAGUUACAGGCUGAAAUUUUGUAGAUUUUAGCUAAAAUUCUGCUCCUAAACAGUUUUGUUGCUUUAGAAAAAUCUGUUUUUUUCCAGCUGCCUUUUGUUCAGCAAGACUCGCUAUUCCUCCAGAGGCUCUGUCUUGGUUAUUGCUGAUGCAGUGCCAGUGAAUAUCGCGGGGGGGAACAAAUGGCUGAUUUGUUUAUUUUGAUGACUCCAUUCAAUGCAUCUGUAUAGAAAGAUACAGAGAAUUAUUGUGUGAUUAUGUAUUCUUUGGCAUUAAUCUCAGUAGCUAAAGUGAAAUAUUGGGCUAUUAUGAAGUGUGAAUGAGCUUCUAAUGUGAUAAAGAAGGUUAAGAUUUCAGUAGUGGUUUGGUUUUCUUGUCUUUCCUCUUCAGCAUGCCAGAUGGUGCAUCAGUGGGCUUUUAUUGGUUCUUUAUCAAUUUCAUUAAGCAUGUGAUUUGAUUGAUCUUAUUUUGCCCGAGAAAAAAAUCAAUUCAAAUAAUACAACUUACAAGGGCAGUACCCUACCUUAAAGAAAAAGAACCUAACGAACAUAAAAUAUGUCAAAGGCUGGGGUGCUGAGAGGAGCUCUGAAGUGCACCCUUGGAUGAGCAGGGAUAUCAUCAAGUGAUGUGGCCAGCAAGAAGGAAGGACUUCUCCAUCAGACCACAGGAGAACGGUUGUCCCUGGGGAUGCAGCUGAGAACGGUCACCCAGGAACACUAAGCCUGAGGAACUGGCAGGGCAUAUACACCUGUGAGCUUCCCAGAGACAGUUCUUAUAGUUACUGAUAUCCAGAGAGCAUUCAGCUCACCCUUUGUUUUCACAGAGCUGAACAGAGCUGGCUCAAUUGACUGGAUCUUCAUGGAUUGAAAUGGGAGCUCAGGCACCUGGCUCACAUGCAGACACCAUGAUCCAAGAGUUUUGCUUUCCCUAAAUUGAGCACAAGCUGAAUUCCAACAGUAGUUUCUGAAAUUAGGACUACUAUACAUCUGUUUUUCUAAAGAUGAAUGCUUUUUCCACCUCAUACUGGAGUACAGUCAAGGCAGAUUUCUGUGAAAUUGACAUGCUAAAUGAGGGGAGAUAAAUGCCCUCAGACUGAUGCUCAGAGCUUUCCUGCUGUAUAAAAUGGAUGCAACACCACUGCAUGGCAAUGGCAGCACCAGCCCUAAAGCCAACAGUGGGAUUCAUAAACUGCUAGAUCAACCUCACUCAUUGCUGGGAGUGCCCAUCUGGGUGGUUUUAUGCUUUGCUCUCUGUCAGGGUGGUGCCAUCGGGCUGGAGCUCUGUGGAUGGAGUAGGUUUUUCCACACACUAACAGACAGAGGUCUGCUGACAGUGCUGUUGGAGCACAUAUCCCCUCUGUAGCUGUGUGCAUCCCAGGCCAUUUGAAACACCACCCAACAGCCUCAGCUUCCUGAUAAGAAAGAGUGUUUCAGAGUCAAGACUAAAGCAGGAGAUCAAAAAGGAGCUCCGCUCACUCCCCUCAGACCAAAUGGGACAGGGAACAACACAAAUAAAACAGUUCGUGAAGAGGAGAGAGGAAAUGCUGAUGAAGAGAGUGUGAAUGAACACCAUGAAUCCCAUUAAACCUCUGUCUUGUGCAGCAGAUUGCUGCAGGCGGGAAUUUCUGAUGCACUGUCUAACUUUCUGUAGAGUCUUAUCACAUAUAAAACUGCAGUAAUCAUAAUGCCAAGGAAUGAGACAAUGACAAAUGAAAAAGCUUUCAGAAGUUAAUGUUCACAACACACUGCCAGCAAAACACACAAUCUAUUUAAUUAGUAAAAUGCCAUGAGAUACUGCGCAGUUCUGCAUUCAGAGAGACUGUGAGUAAAUAUGUAAGAGUGUUAUAAUACAAUGAGAUGGCUACAUUAAAGACUGAAAUAUAUGUGGCUGGUGAGAUGUAGGCACUGCACAUUAAAAUAAACACAUUGCAUCAUAAAUUCAGCACACUUGACAUCAUAAUGGGCAAUGAAAGCUAUGUCACCUAUGAAAGCAGCUGCACCUCUUUUGGAACCAGUGGCACCAAUGGCUGCAGGCUGACGUAGACUUUCUGAGUCUCUGGUCUUGCUGUUCGAGUAGUCCACAGCCACAAGUACAGCCAAUGGGCUAAGCACUAGUGGGUCUCUGUUUGGGCAGAGGGAAUCAAUCACUUCUCCUUGCCAUAGUGUCAAUUCUGCCAUCACAGCUCUGUUCCUUUUUCUUGGCUCUUCAAUUUGCUCCGCACCUCAGUUUAGACAGCAAAUUCCACACACUAACCCAUGUUGACACCAUCCUCAGUCUUUCCCAUGCAGUUUUCCACCUUUUCCCCUCCUGUUUGGGGACUAAGACAUAGCUUGGGCUGCUCCUGGUGGAGGUAUAACCCAGGUUGCGGUGUCCAUCAGCCACCAGCAGCAGCUCCUUAACGGUCCAAGCCAAGAAAGCUCACAUAUUCCAAGCUCCUACUUUUGUGGCCACAGACUCUUUUCAUCACCUUCCAAGCCUCCUCCGUAACUAAAAGUAUUCUUAAAACAACAGU